AAUAUACUCCCUCCGUCUCAAAAUUCUUGUCUUAGAUUAGUUUAAAUACGGAUGUAUCUAAUACUAAAACAUGACUUGAUACAUCCGUAUUUAGACAAAUCUAAAACAAGAAUUUUGGGACGGAGCGAGUAUAUU
rfam:Triticum aestivum genome assembly, contig: Triticum_aestivum_CS42_TGACv1_scaffold_593291_7BS